rnacentral:lncRNA from 1 species
GGGGGUGUGGCAGCCUCCGGAAGUCACGUGGGCAUUACUAAGACAUGACUGUGUCAGAGAGGGAACAGAGAUGAGAGGAGAGGUACAGCAACCUCAUGGGGCGGGGCAGGGGGAGCCUGGGCUUGAUCGGGAGGCCAUGACAGGCAGGGCCAGGUGCGAAGCAGGAAAGCUCAGGGAGGCCAGUUCAGAGCUCUGGGAGACAGCAGGCUGCAGGGUUCAGAUCUGGGUGGUGGCUGAGGAGAUAGGGAGAAGGGACUGACCAGAGAUACUUAAGGGGAGAAGGACCAGACUGGUGCCUGAUUGCUUGUGGGUAGUAAGGGAGCAGGAGGAGUUCUGGUCUCUAGGGAGAGAGGGAGGAGGAGGCUAGCAGCCAGCCGGCCACCAGUUACCUUGGACACAACCCUCAGGGACCCUGCCCCCGCUAUUGCAGAGCUAUGGCCUCUGACAGCGGCCUGGCAGCAGCCAUCUCCCCCCCAUACACCGCCUUCCCCAGGGGCGGACGUGCAGCUCUGCUGGCUCCCAGCCCAGCGCUCCUCCCUCAGCAGUCCGCUCUGCUCCGUGCAGCCAGCAGGGGAGGAAGGGAGGACAGGGCCGCAGGAGUCUGCAGGCCAGAGGGGGAGGGAAGACCAGGAAGCCUGCCUGGGGACCCCAACCAGGAGCCUUGCAGUGAGAGAGGGCGUGGCAGGCGCCAGGAGGAACCCAGCCCUGUCACAAACCAUGCCCUGGCCUCUUGCCAGCCACUGUAUGGAUGGAGACACUGAGGCCCAGAGAUGGCCGGGGGCAGAAAGACUAGAAGAACUCAGGGCUGAACCACAGGAGAGGGGACUUGAGCUCACUCAUCUGGCAGCAAGUGAAGACGCGCUGAUCUUUUCGUGUUCCUUUGACAAGAAGCUAUCACGAGGAAUGGAAGGAUCCUGGACCCAAAAAACCACAGGACCCAGCAGGAAACAAGAGGACAGGCUCAAACUCUGGGUUUCUGAGCCUACGCUCCCCUCUCUGGAGGCCAGGUCCCCCAAAUGUAGAAGGAUGGACUGAUCAGUGAUUUUAAAGAACCGGUUCACCGCCAAUCGCUGUACCACGCACCCAACUCUCCCAAAGUUUUCUAAAACAAAAAUACAAACCUCACCGCCCUCCACCCGGGGUUCCACAACUGGAGGCCUUCCGAGAUGAUCCGACUGCCGGGGAUCCAGCAGCCCGACCAGCCCCGUCCCAGAACGAGACCGACCCCCAGACCACGCCGCCCAUACGCAAGCCCGGGGCGGCGGCCCCUAGGGGGCAGUGUUGCCCCGGACUUGCCCAGCGAGCGCGGAGAAACGCGGGUACUGGGAACUGGGGCUCCCACAGCACCCCGCAGCAAUCCCUCCGCAGAGAGCAGGCGUGGGUUUGUAUUUUCGCGGAGGUGGGGGACAGGCACUCGUUCCGGCUGCCCGUGCGGAUUGAGGCUACACUGAGGCCUGUGGGGGAAAGGGAAGGGGCGAGGACCUGUCAGCAUCUGCCGUGCACCCCUUUAUCCCUGAGCACCUCCCCAAGGGGUGACAGGUACCCAUCUCGCUCCACCUACCUAGCCUCACCUCCAGUCCCCCAUCCCACCCCGCCAGGAAGCCCCGAGGCUGCAGCCUCGCCUGCCGCAGCUCAAACUCAGAUCGCGGAUCCGGACACAACAUCUCAAGGGGGUUCGACAGGAGGGCGACUCCUGCUGCGAAUCCCCGCCCCACCCCAGGGCUAGCCUUAGCUCUAGUCCGGGGGUCCCAGGGGACUGUUCGAUUCGAGUUCAAUACAACGGUAUAAAUGGGGGAGGUAGGAAGAAGGUGAAG